AGGACAAACGCUGGCGGGGUGCGUGAGACAUGCAAGUCGAACGAGGUUUCAUGGGGCUUGCUCUGUGAAACCUAGUGGCGGACGGCUGAGUAACGCGUAGGUGACCUGCCCGGAAGUGGGGAAUAACUGCCCGAAAGGGUGGCUAAUACCGCAUGUGGUCGUCGAAUCAGUUCGCCGACUAAAGGAGUAAUCCGCUUCCGGAGGGGCCUGCGUCCGAUUAGCUAGUUGGUGAGGUAACGGCCCACCAAGGCGACGAUCGGUAGCUGGUCUGAGAGGAUGAUCAGCCAGACUGGGACUGAGAACGGCCCAGACUCCUACGGGAGGCAGCAGUCGGGAAUUUUGCCCAAUGGACGAAAGUCUGAGGCAGCAACUCCGCGUGAGGGAUGAAGGCCUUCGGGUUGUAACCUCUUUAUCAGGGAAGAUAAUGACGGUACCUGAUGAAUAAGUCACGGCUAACUACGUGCCAGCAGCCGC
rnacentral:rRNA from 1 species